rnacentral:tRNA from 1 species
CGUAGCGCAGAGGUUAGCAUGUCUGCCUUUAACGCUGAACGCCCGGGUUCAAAUCCUGGCG